rnacentral:rRNA from 1 species
AGAGUUUGAUCAUGGCUCAGAGCGAACGCUGGCGGCAGGCUUAACACAUGCAAGUCGAGCGGGCGUAGCAAUACGUCAGCGGCAGACGGGAGAGUAACACGUGGGAACGCGCCCUUCGGUUCGGAAUAACUCAGGGAAACUUGAGCUAAUACCGGAUACGCCCUAACGGGGAAAGAUUUAUUGCCGAAGGAACGGCCCGCGUCGGAUUAGCUAGUUGGUGAGGUAAUGGCUCACCAAGGCGACGAUCCGUAGCUGGUCUGAGAGGAUGACCAGCCUCACUGGGACUGAGACACGGCCCAGACUCCUACGGGAGGCAGCAGUGGGGAAUAUUGGACAAUGGGCGCAAGCCUGAUCCAGCCAUGCCGCGUGGAUGAUGAAGGCCCUAGGGUUGUAAAGUCCUUUUAACGGGGAAGAUAAUGACGGUACCCGUAGAAUAAGCCCCGGCUAACUUCGUGCCAGCCGCCGCGGUAAUUC